rnacentral:rRNA from 1 species
GAUGAACGCUGGCGGCGUGCCUAAUACAUGCAAGUCGAGCGAACAGACGAGGAGCUUGCUCCUCUGACGUUAGCGGCGGACGGGUGAGUAACACGUGGAUAACCUACCUAUAAGACUGGGAUAACUUCGGGAAACCGGGGCUAAUACCGGAUAAUAUAUUGAACCGCAUGGUUCAAUAGUGAAAGACGGUUUUGCUGUCACUUAUAGAUGGAUCCGCGCCGCAUUAGCUAGUUGGUAAGGUAACGGCUUACCAAGGCAACGAUGCGUAGCCGACCUGAGAGGGUGGUCGGCCACACUGGAACUGAGACACGGUCCAGACUCCUACGGGAGGCAGCAGUAGGGAAUCUUCCGCAAUGGGCGAAAGCCUGACGGAGCAACGCCGCGUGAGUGAUGAAGGUCUUCGGAUCGUAAAACUCUGUUAUUAGGGAAGAACAAAUGUGUAAGUAACUAUGCACGUCUUGACGGUACCUAAUCAGAAAGCCACGGCUAACUACGUG